UAACCAAUCAAGCUUCGCUUGGUAUUGGGGUGCGCACCCGCGGCCCUCAAACACAGUGGCGGUCUCUGUAGACUCUAAGCGUAGUAAUACUUCUCGCUAUUGGGUUCUGCGGUGGCCUGCCAAAACCCCCAUUUUUCC
rnacentral:misc_RNA from 1 species